GUCGUCUCCGUAUUCGUUUCGAGCGCCGUGCAGACAUUCACGGCGCGUUCCUCAAACUCGGUUGCUGUCUGAUCUGCUGGAAUACCCUUCGGCGGGCCGAUCAGUCUUUAUGAAACCGUCUCUAAGGAGACUGCCGGUGACAAACCGGAGGAAGGUGGGGAUGACGUCAAGUCCUCAUGGCCCUUAUGGGUAGGGCUUCACACGUCAUACAAUGGUCGGAACAGAGGGUUGCCAACCCGCGAGGGGGAGCUAAUCCCAGAAAACCGAUCGUAGUCCGGAUUGCACUCUGCAACUCGAGUGCAUGAAGCUGGAAUCGCUAGUAAUCGCGGAUCAGCAUGCCGCGGUGAAUACGUUCCCGGGUCUUGUACACACCGCCCGUCACACCAUGGGAGUGGGUUUUACCAGAAGUGGCUAGUCUAACCGCAAGGAGGACGGUCACCACGGUAGGAUUCAUGACUGGGGUGAAGUCGUAACAAGGUAGCCGUAUCGGAAGGUGCGGCUGGAUCACCUCCUUU
rnacentral:rRNA from 1 species